rnacentral:rRNA from 1 species
AUAUCAAUAAGCGGAGGAAAAGAAACCAACAGGGAUUGCCUCAGUAACGGCGAGUGAAGCGGCAACAGCUCAAAUUUGAAAUCUGGCCCCGCUGGGACCCGAGUUGUAAUUUGUAGAGGAUGCUUUGGCGUUGGCUAUGGCCUAAGUUCCUUGGAACAGGACGUCGCAGAGGGUGAGAGCCCCGUAUGUGGCCGCCAGCCUCCACCGUGUAAAGCGCCUUCGACGAGUCGAGUUGUUUGGGAAUGCAGCUCUAAAUGGGAGGUAAAUUUCUUCUAAAGCUAAAUAUUGGCCAGAGACCGAUAGCGCACAAGUA